rnacentral:rRNA from 1 species
UACGAAGGGGGCUAGCGUUGCUCGGAAUGACUGGGCGUAAAGGGCGCGUAGGCGGAUGACACAGUCAGAUGUGAAAUUCCCGGGCUUAACCUGGGGGCUGCAUUUGAUACGUGUUGUCUAGAGUGAGGAAGAGGGUUGUGGAAUUCCCAGUGUAGAGGUGAAAUUCGUAGAUAUUGGGAAGAACACCAGUGGCGAAGGCGGCUCACUGGCCCGGUACUGACGCUGAGGUGCGAAAGCGUGGGGAGCAAACAGG